rnacentral:lncRNA from 1 species
AUGGUCUCCAGCAUCCCUCAGAAUAAGCAGAGACAAGGAUUUGUUACCCGUACAUCUCACGAUAUGGGGCGGAGGGGCUGGGGGUGCACACCUGAGCGGGGCUCGCAGUCCCCGUGCUGGUUGCAGGCGCAGGGCACGCAGGCGACGAAGGGGCCACCGAAGGGGACAUCCCGCUUGAAGCCGGGAGCGCAGGACUGGCAGAACUGCCCGUUGUAUCCCGGGGGACACGCACACUCCUCCACCCAGCCCGCCUGCACACCCGGCCCGGGGCGAGCCGACGUGAGCCGCACCUCGCUCAGCACCAGCCUGCCUGCGAGAGGGGACAGCAGCGUGAGGCCAGGAUGGCACAGCCCCAGCCCCGUCUCUCCAUGCUGCAUAGAAAUACUCCAGACUCCCAUGGGAAACCCCAAAAUAUCCCUGUGGGUGCCUCUUGUCCCUGUUUCAGUGCUGUUCUGCUGUCUCCAGCCCAGCCCAGUCCCCACAGGACACCCAAGGAGCCACCCACCUGGCCCGGCGCUCACGCGGAGGCGGAGGGCGCUCAGGUUGGAGAGCAGGCGCUGGAAGCUGAAGGCCGACAGCGAAGGCUCCGUGCCCUCCUCAGCCUCAUGUAGCCUGUUGGAGAGGAGUGUGGGAGGAAGGACAGCCAGAGGGACAGCUUCCCCCCGCAGGACAGCUCAGACCCCCACUGAUGGGGCACACGGUGAAACCCCCAGGGGGUCUGGGAGUGGAGCUGAACCCCCAGCACAAGGUAGCCCUGGCAAGAUCCCCAAGUGUCCCCUAAGUCACCCGAGAAUCCCCAAAGCACCACAACAGGUACCUGAAGGUGACAGCCUGCUUUCCAUCCCGUGGCUGGCUCUCACUGCUGGACAUGGUGACCUCCAUCCCCUCGCCCUCCAGCACCAGCUGGACGCGGAGCUGGGGCACCCUGCUCUCUGUCCCAGUCCCGUUCCCCUCUGCUCCCAGCAGCAGGGUCAGGGGCUGCCCGUAGCUGAGGUGCUGGUUCUGCAGAAACUUCUCUGCAAGAGGAAAGAGGAGGAAAAUCUGAAGGGCGUGGAUGUACCCAUGUGGAUGUACCCGCGACGUGCCCAUGAUGCCGGGUGGGAACAGUUCAGGAGCCCCUGGCACACUUCUGUUCCCACCAGAAUCAACAGGAGGUGA